AAUCCUAGGGAAGAGAAGGAUGGAGGAUUGUAGAAGCCAUAGGGGUCAAGGAUACCACAAGAAAAUCCACAGACUCAACUAACCUGGGCUCAUAGGAGCUCACAGAGACUGAACUGACAACAAGGAAUCCUGCAUGGGACUGGCCUAGGC